AUGACUCUGAUCUUCAUCUGGACUCUCCUCUGCUGCUGCUUCACAGAGUCCAGAGGACAGGUCACAGUGACUCAGCCUGGAGCAGUGAGCUCUGCUCUGGGAGUCUUCGCCUCCAUCAGCUGUAGGUUUAAUUUAGCGGUGGGAAUAGGAUCAAAAAGUGGUAAAGAAGUUUUAGCUUGGUACCAACAGAAAGAUGGAGAAACUCCUAAACUGCUAAUCCGCUACAUCAGUGAGAGGGCGUCUGGGAUUCCUGAUCGUUUUUCAGGCAAUGGAACAAAGACUGACUUCACUCUGACCAUCAGUGGACUUCAGGCUGAAGAUGCAGCAGUUUACUACUGUCUGAGUGAUCACUGGAUCAACAGUCAGGAUGUGUUCACACAGUGAAAAAGCGUCGUACAAAAACCUCCCUCAGUCAGACUGAACAGAAACUGAAGUGACUGCUGCAGCUGGAAGCUCCUGCAGAGACUGAUACACUUCACUGAAUCCCACACACACU